rnacentral:rRNA from 1 species
AACGAACGCUGGCGGCAGGCUUAACACAUGCAAGUCGAACGAUGAAGCCGGAGCUUGCUCUGGUGAAUUAGUGGCGAACGGGUGAGUAACACGUGAGUAACCUGCCCUUGACUCUGGGAUAACUGCUAGAAAUGGUAGCUAAUACCGGAUACGACCCUCGGAGGCAUCUCCAGGGGGUGGAAAGAAUUUCGGUCAAGGAUGGACUCGCGGCCUAUCAGCUAGUUGGUGAGGUAACGGCUCACCAAGGCGACGACGGGUAGCCGGCCUGAGAGGGUGACCGGCCACACUGGGACUGAGACACGGCCCAGACUCCUACGGGAGGCAGCAGUGGGGAAUAUUGCACAAUGGGCGCAAGCCUGAUGCAGCAACGCCGCGUGAGGGAUGACGGCCUUCGGGUUGUAAACCUCUUUUAGUAGGGAAGAAGCGAAAGUGACGGUACCUGCAGAAAAAGCACCGGCUAACUACGUGCCAGCCGCCGCCGUAA